rnacentral:misc_RNA from 1 species
CGCGAAUGGCUCAUUAAAUCAGCUAUGGUUCCUUAGAUCGUACAUACUACAUGGAUAACUGUAGUAAUUCUAGAGCUAAUACAUGCAAAUAUGCCCUGACCCGCGAGGGGACGGGUGCUUUUAUUAGAACAGAAUCAACGUUUGCAUUCUGUGAUGACUCUGGAUAACUUCGAUGAUCGCAGUCGGCCAUGUGUCGGCGACGGAGCUUUCAAGUGUCUGCCCUAUCAACUUUCGAUGGUAGGUGAACCUGCAGAAGGAUCAAGCUGGA